rnacentral:lncRNA from 1 species
GGGAAUUCCACCUAAUUCUAAUGGAAAUGGAUGCAUUUCCCAACUUAAUGAAAGUGUAAACCAUCAUUAAUUGUAUGGUGGAUGAUCAUGAUCAGCAAUAGCUUGUUCCUAGCAUUUUUUAAUAGAUGAGAAAAUCACCCAGCUAAACUUAAUCUAACUUACAAAAUCGACCAGUAAUCUGAACUUAAUUCAUUCAUAAGACAUUGACCAUUAAUCUCAUUAAACUAUUUUGCAGCAGUUUGGAAGAGAUUGACCAUUAAUCUUAUAAACGAUUUUUUGAAUACAUGAGAAAAUCAACCGGUCAUUUGAACUUAAUUCAUUCAAAAAAUCAACCGGUCAUCUGAACGUAAUUCAUUCAUACUUCAUUGAGAUAAUGUUUUCGGAUGAAAUUCAGGUAAAAGGAAUUCCACCUAAUACAGGUAGGGCAUGAUAAACUAUGCAAUAAAGUAUGAAAUUCAGAUAGGUAGGGCUUUGAAUCAAUAAAGUAUACAAAAUUCAGAAUGGUAGGGCGUUGAAAUUCAGGUAAAAUUCUUUCAAAAAUUACCAAUCUGGAGAUAUAUAUUUUACGCAUACUUUGACAAAAAACUGAAAUUUACAAACAAAAUCAUAAAAUUUAAACUUACAUCUUCUUCUUCCAUCUAAUACAACUUGAAAUUUGAAGGUUUGGAUUUUUGGGGUGUUAAAUUGCAAGUUGCAGUGGACGGCUGACGGGCUGCUCUGCUACAGGUAAGGCGUCGAAUUUGAUUUCUGAAUGUGAAGAAGAAGAUAAUGGAUUUUUAUAUAAACGUUGGUAGACUGGGCGGUUUCUUCGUAAUUGGGACAGCAGUUUGAUGAAAAACCGGCGGUUCCUUUGAGUUUUUAUUGGAUCAGUAGUAUGGUUAAAAUCAUAGGUGGUUUGGACCGAACCAUGGUCCGGUUCAACGAUUUUUGGGUCGAACCGGU